rnacentral:rRNA from 1 species
UGAGGAAUAUUGGUCAAUGGGCGGAAGCCUGAACCAGCCAUGCCGCGUGAAGGAAUAAGGCCCUAUGGGUCGUAAACUUCUUUUGACGGGGAGCAAUAAGGUCUACGUGUAGACCGAUGAGAGUACUCGUUGAAUAAGCAUCGGCUAACUCCGUGCCAGCAGCCGCGGUAAUACGGAGGAUGCAAGCGUUAUCCGGAUUCAUUGGGUUUAAAGGGUGCGUAGGCGGCUUGGUAAGUCAGCGGUGAAAUUCCAGUGCUCAACAUUGGCCGUGCCGUUGAUACUGCUGGGCUUGAAUGCGGAUGCCGUGGGAGGAAUGUGUGGUGUAGCGGUGAAAUGCAUAGAUAUCACACAGAACACCGAUUAGCGAAGGCAUCUCACGAAUC